CUACGGGGGGCAGCAGUGAGGAAUAUUGCACAAUGGGGGGAACCCUGAUGCAGCAACGCCGCGUGGAGGAUGACGCAUUUCGGUGUGUAAACUCCUUUUAUAUGUCAAGAAAAUGACGGUAGCAUAUGAAUAAGCACCGGCUAACUCCGUGCCAGCAGCCGCGGUAAUACGGAGGGUGCAAGCGUUACUUGGAAUCGCUGGGCGUAAAGGACGCGUAGGCGGGGUGGAAAGUCAGGUGUGAAAUCCUAUAGCUUAACUGUAGAACUGCACUUGAAACUUCUAAUCUAGAGUAUGGGAGGGGGAGAUGGAAUUAGUGGUGUAGGGGUAAAAUCCGUAGAUAUCACUAGGAAUACCUAAAGCGAAGGCGAUCUCCUGGAACAUUACUGACGCUAAGGCGUGAAAGCGUGGGGAGCAAACAGGAUUAGAUACCCCGGUAGUC
rnacentral:rRNA from 1 species